UACGGGGGGGGCAAGCGUUGUUCGGAAUUACUGGACGUAAAGGGCUCGUAGGUGGCCAACUAAGUCAGACGUGAAAUCCCUCGGCUUAACCGGGGAACUGCGUCUGAUACUGGAUGGCUUGAGUUUGGGAGAGGGACGCGGAAUUCCAGGUGUAGCGGUGAAAUGCGUAGAUAUCUGGAGGAACACCGGUGGCGAAGGCGGCGUCCUGGACCAACACUGACACUGAGGCGCGAAAGCCAGGGGAGCGAACGGG
rnacentral:rRNA from 1 species